UACAGAGGGUGCGAGCGUUAAUCGGAAUUACUGGGCGUAAAGCGCACGUAGGCGGCUUGGUAUGUCGGGUGUGAAAUCCCCGGGCUCAACCUGGGAACUGCAUCCGAAACUGCCUUGUUCGAGUAUGGGAGAGGGAAGUGGAAUUUCCGGUGUAGCGGUGAAAUGCGUAGAUAUCGGAAGGAACAUCAGUGGCGAAGGCGGCUCACUGGACCGGUACUGACGCUGAUGCGCGAAAGCUAGGGGAGCAAACAGGG
rnacentral:rRNA from 1 species